UACAGAGGUCUCAAGCGUUGUUCGGAUUUACUGGGCGUAAAGGGUGUGUAGGCGGUUAGGUAAGUCUAAAGUGAAAUCUCUAAGCCUAACUUAGAAAUGGCUUUGGAUACUAUUUGACUAGAGGGUCGGAGAGGAGAUUGGAAUUCUCGGUGUAGCAGUGAAAUGCGUAGAUAUCGAGAGGAACAUCAGUGGCGAAAGCGAAUCUCUGGACGAACCCUGACGCUGAGGCACGAAAGCUAGGGUAGCAAACGGG
rnacentral:rRNA from 1 species